rnacentral:lncRNA from 1 species
UGGGUUGCAUCUGUUGUUUCCUGGAUCCAAUGUUUUCCUCUUUCUUUAUUUCCAACACUAUUUUGUUGACAAACAUCCUGAAAUAACUUUAAAAGACGGAUUGGAAGAGUAUGAGGACCAUGGCUUAUUCUUAUUCACCAUUAUGUCCUUACAGUGCCUGGAGUAGGGAUGGCACAGAAGAACUAUUCAGCACAUGAAGCAGUGAAUGAAAAGACAAAAGGGCAAGAAAAGGAGAGAACAGUGGAGAAAAAAGAUUUUAAUUAAAUACAUGUGGGAAUUUAUCUCUGGCUAUUAUUUAUUCCACCAAGUACACGGAUGUAUGAAUUCAUU